CCUACGGGAGGCUGCAGUGAGGAAUAUUGGGCAAUGGGCGUAAGCCUGAACCAGCCAAGUCGCGUGAGGGAUGAAGGUUCUAUGGAUCGUAAGCCUCUUUUAUAAGGGAAUAAAGUGCGGGACGUGUCCCGUUUUGUAUGUACCUUAUGAAUAAGGAUCGGCUAACUCCGUGCCAGCAGCCGCGGUAAUACGGGGGAUCCGAGCGUUAUCCGGAUUUAUUUGGUUUAACGGGUGCGUAGGCGGCCUUUUAAGUCAGCGGUGAAAGUCUGUGGCUCAACCAUAGAAUUGCCGGUGAAACUGGGAGGCUUGAGUAUGUUUGAGGCAGGCGGAAUGCGUGGUGUAGCGGUGAAAUGCGUAGAUAUCACGCAGAACCCCGAUUGCGAAGGCAGCCUGCCAAGCCAUGACUGACGCUGAUGCACGAAAGCGUGGGGAGCAAACAGGAUUAGAUACCCUUGUAGUC
rnacentral:rRNA from 1 species